UUAAUUACAUGCGUUAUGUAUCAAUUGAUUAUAAUAUAUAAUAGGUAUUCUAAAAUUUCUCUAUGACCGAGCAAGAAUUGUGCACUGGUCCAUGUAUAGAUGAACAGCAAAGCACCAUGGGAUGCGUGUCGAUUAAAGGACCCCAUUAAGCCCACAAGGGCGGGCUGUGACGCUCCCAUCAUCUGUGAACCAUUGGACUAUUUCAUAUAUUUUAAUUAAUGAAAAAUAUGAGUCUGAUUUUCCGCAUAUUUUCAAAUUAGAUAUGGAAAAUUUAAUGUUUAAUUAUCAUGAAUAUUGAAAUAAUGCGAAUACUUUUUUAUAAGCAGGAUGUGUGUUGAGAGAGAAAGAGUUUGGGGGAAAAGUUUUAAAAGAGACAAACGUGAUUUUGGAUGUUUAUUUAGGUAAAAAUUAAUUAAAACAAAAUUUUAAUUAUUUAAUUUCAUUAAUGACAUAUGUCAAUAGAUGCUUAAAAGUUUAGGAGGAUUAUGAGAGAAAAUACUUAGGAAAGGAUCUUGAUCCUAUUCAAUAUUGACAGAACCAUUAAUAUAGAAGUUAGAGGAUUAGCUGAAGAAGUCUUUUCAUGCCCGAAUUUCAUAAUUAAUUCGGAAGAGUAAGCUAGAGGUUCAGUGUAAAUUUAAUUAAAAAAAGGGGAAAGGUACAGAAGCACAUUUUUCGUUAUUAAGUAGCAAAAAGAUCCUUUAAAAGUCAUCCUCUUACGUUGUCAUAGUAUCAUGUCUCUUUCAUUUGACAAUUUCACAAAUUUGACAAAACCUCGAGGAAACUUCAGAUUCUUUUCAUUAUUAGACUAGUCAAAAUCUCUUUGGUGGAUAUAAUAAACAACUCAAAGAUUUCAUCAGCUUAGUGUAAUAAUUAGUCUAAUUAACUAAAAAAAUGAUAAUUUAAUCAAACCACAUAUAUGUUGUUAAAUUGCUACAUGCUAGGUUGUGGCUUAUAGAUCCUAAUUCCUCUGAUUUCAAACAAAUUUGUAAAGAGAUUCUCUGCAAUGUAUGGGGAAAUUUCUAUGCAGAAGAAAUUUCAAUUUUAAUAUUAAAGACUUCAUGUUACACAAUUUUCUAUAUAUAUGUUUGAAUCUCAUUUCACAAUGAAGAAAUUGAAUAUCUAAAAAAUAGUAUUUUAUUAAUUAUAUAAAAAAAGUAGAGCAUACUAAUAUAGAGAGAACUUUUUAUAAUAACAUGUUAUCUCUUCAGAAGUUUUGUUCUUUUAUCAUUUUCUACAUCGAAACCCCAAUUAUGGAAGCUUGAUUUCGGCCUUGCGUUACUCAUAUUCUUGCCAUUUACCAUGGACUGAAAAAUUAGAGCGGUUAAAAAUAGAUGCUCGUGGACUUGGUUUCUUGAUGUUUGAGAAAAUGUAUUCAUUGUAUUCAUUGUCUAGUCUAUAAUCUUGGGUUAAAGGGAUCCUAAAUUUAGGCCAAGCGGGCUUGCUAUGUUUAGAUUAAGUAACUAGUUCUACUGAAAUAAGUUGUGGGCGUGUGAGAUCAUGGUCAAUUUGCCAUCAUCUGAUUUGAUUGGUUUUCAAGCGAAGUUGAUCAGUGAGAGACUUAAUGCUGACCGGCUUAAGACAGUGCAAUCUUUAAAGGAAAAGAAAAAAAUAUAUAAUUAAUUACUUAUUUUUACAUUGUUUUACAUGGUUUUUGUAAUUUACAUCAUAACCGGUGACGUUAUUCCGACACAUGAUCGAGAUCCAAUCGUUGACGAAAAAGUCUGACAUUAAAAGUUAUUCCGACACAUGUGGCGUCAUGAAAUAUUUUACCAAAUCAUCCAGUCACUUUUACCAUCUUCAGGUAAUUUAAGUAAUGUGUUGAGGACAAAAUAAUCCAAGGGUACAAAUAAAAUUGAAAUUAAGUAAUGAGGAAAUAUCCACCGUUCACCCAUUUUUUUUAAUUUUAUUAUUUUAGUUAUUAUUUAUUAUUGUUAUUA
rnacentral:lncRNA from 1 species